AAGAGAAGAGCCUGUGAGAUUAGCCAAGGAGACUGCCUGGCAGCCAAACAUGAAUUUUAGACAUACGACAAUGCCAUUCAUGUGAUUGGAGGCAGGCAAGUCAUCCUUGGCUACCAAACAAUGUUCUUUUCUUCAUGUAAGGCCUCCAGCUUCCUGCAUGCACUGGUCAAACUCAAUCCAUCAUAUAUCGAUCGAUCUUGCUUCUUUACGGGUACAAUGCACAAUGCUGACAACCGAUCCUGUAUUGUUAUAAGAAGCUGAAGAAGAAGAAGAAGAAGAAGAAGAAGAAGAAGAAGAAGAAGAGAAGGGUAUAGCAUGAGAAGAAGAGGUUGUCAAGUUAGCCAAAGGAGACUGCCUGGUGGCUGCUGCGGAGAACCCAACAACACGUAGGAGAGUGAGUACUUACGUACUGCCACCUCGUGGAUUGGAUUGGAAUUAGGAGCGCGCGGCAGCACAGCAGGCAAGUCAUCCUUGGCUACCAAACAACACUCUUCUCU
rnacentral:sRNA from 1 species